UUUCCGUAGGUGAACCUGCGGAAGGAUCAUUAUAGAUUUUUCUGGAUUGUCAAUUGGGCAACCUCUUGACUCUCCGCCAAACCAAACAACGUGAACAACCGGACGCGGCCUCUCGGGGCUGUGUCCACUUUUGCAACUGUCGUCCUAUGUCAUGAAAGCAAAACAAUAGAGUACAACUCUCAACGAUGGAUCUCUUGGCUCUCGCAUCGAUGAAGAACGCAGC
rnacentral:misc_RNA from 1 species